GAAAUCCUGGGGUGUUCGAUACCCUGCUAUUUUGAACCUACAUUUUUUUUACGGGUUCCCUACAUUGCAGAUUGGAUGUCAGGCCGCCAUCAUAUAGCAGCGGAAGGCAGAAGAGAUGCUGCGGUUACCCACCUGGCUUUGGCUAGGACUCAAAAUUGCAGGAAACGGCACUUUGGGAUUUUG
rnacentral:other from 1 species